GAUCAAGCUACAAAGGGCGCACGGUGAAUGCCCUGGCACUAGGAGCCGAUGAAGGACGUGAUAAGCUGCGAUAAGCUACAUGUAGGCGCACAUAGCCUGUGAUAUGUAGAUUUCCGAAUGGGGAAACCCAUCUAGUUAUGCUAGAUACUGUAUACUGAAUUCAUAGGUAUAUGGAGGUACACCUGGGGAACUGAAACAUCUAAGUACCCAGAGGAAGAGAAAGAAAAUUCGAUUCCCUAAGUAGCGGCGAGCGAAAGGGGAAGAGCCCAAACCAGGAACUUGUUCCUGGGGUUGCGGAUAGAUCAUAACGCUUUGAUUUCUUUAGUUGAAGAGAACUGGAAAGUUCCGUCGUAGAAGGUAAUAACCCUGUAGGCGAAAAGGAAAGAAAAGUAGAUCUACUCCAGAGUACCACGAGACACGUGAAACCUUGUGGGAAGCUGGGAGGACCAUCUCCCAAGGCUAAAUACUACCUAGUGACCGAUAGUGAAGCAGUACCGUGAGGGAAAGGUGAAAAGAACCCCGGAAGGGGAGUGAAAUAGAAUCUGAAACCGUGUGCCUACAAUCGGUCGGAGCACAUUAAAGUGUGACGGCGUACUUUUUGUAGAACGGGCCAGCGAGUUACGAUAUAUAGCAAGGUUAAGCACUUAUGGUGUGGAGCCGAAGGGAAACCGAGUCUGAAUAGGGCAACUAGUUGUAUAUUGUAGACCCGAAACCGGGUGACCUAUCCAUGGCCAGGAUGAAGCGGAAGUAAAAUUCCGUGGAGGUCCGAACCACGUUGGUGUUGAAAACCAUGGGAUGAGCUGUGGAUAGCGGAGAAAUUCCAAUCGAACUCGGAGAUAGCUGGUUCUCCUCGAAAUAGCUUUAGGGCUAGCGUCGGGUAAUUGAGUAGUGGAGGUAGAGCACUGAAUGGGCUAGGGGCUGACAACAGUUACUGAACCCUAUCAAACUCCGAAUGCCAUAUACUUGUACCCCGGCAGUCAGACUACGAAUGAUAAGAUCCGUGGUCAAAAGGGAAACAGCCCAGACCAUCAGCUAAGGUCCCAAAGUGUAAGUUAAGUGGGAAAGGAUGUGGGAUUUCUAAGACAACUAGGAUGUUGGCUUAGAAGCAGCCACUCAUUUAAAGAGUGCGUAAUAGCUCACUAGUCGAGAGAUCCUGCGCCGAAGAUGUAACGGGGCUUAAACUUACCACCGAAGCUAUGGAUGUGUACUUUGUACACGUGGUAGAGGAGCUUUCUGUACAGGUUGAAGUCAUACCGUAAGGAGUGGUGGACAGUACAGAAGUGAGAAUGCUGGCAUAAGUAGCGAAAAACAAGUGAGAAUCUUGUUGACCGAAUAUCUAAGGUUUCCUGGGGAAGGCUUGUCCUCCCAGGGUUAGUCGGGACCUAAGCCGAGGCCGAAAGGCGUAGGUGAUGGACAACUGGUUGAUAUUCCAGUACCACCAUAAUGCGUUUGACAAAUGGGAUGACGCAGGAGGAUAGGAUGUGCGCACUAUUGGAUGUGCGUCUAAGCACUUAGGGUGUUAAGUAGGCAAAUCCGCUUAACAUUAAGCCUGAGGUGUGAUGGGGAGCCUAUUUUGGCGAAGUAUCUGAUUCCACGCUGCCAAGAAAAGUCUCUAUGGAGCAAAGUGGUGCCCGUACCGCAAACCGACACAGGUAGAUGAGGAGAGAAUCCUAAGGUCGUCGGAAGAAUUAUUGCUAAGGAACUCGGCAAAUUGACCCCGUAACUUAGGGAGAAGGGGUGCCUACGAGAGUAGGCCGCAGUGAAUAGGCUCAAGCAACUGUUUAUCAAAAACACAGGUCUCUGCUAAAGCGUAAGCUGAUGUAUAGGGGCUGACGCCUGCCCGGUGCUGGAAGGUUAAGGGGAAUAGUUAGUGCAAGCGAAGCUAUGAACUUAAGCCCCAGUAAACGGCGGCCGUAACUAUAACGGUCCUAAGGUAGCGAAAUUCCUUGUCGGGUAAGUUCCGACCCGCACGAAUGGCGUAAUGAUUUGAGCACUGUCUCGGCAAUAAAUCCGGUGAAAUUGUAGUGCAAGUGAAGAUGCUUGCUACCCGCGGUUGGACGGAAAGACCCCGUAGAGCUUUACUGUAGCUUAGCAUUGAAUUUCGGUAUUGUCUGUACAGGAUAGGUGGGAGACUUAGAAGCGAGGGCGUCAGCUUUCGUGGAGUCGUCCUUGGGAUACCACCCUGACAGUACUGGAAUUCUAACUGGAGGCCUGAAUCUGGUCACA
rnacentral:rRNA from 1 species